UCACAGUUUAAUCAUGUGGAACACAUUGGUAAAUAUAGAUUUGCCUUUUAGAAAGUUGCUUCAAAGUGUAUUUUGCAGCUCACAAGACGUUUCUCAGGGUGUAAACCAGUGGUGUAAUGUAAAGCUUUUGGCCCUCCCCGAUGUGAGCAGGGAGGAUAGACGUGUUUGGCAUGAUGUUCACGGUGGCGGUGGCACAGGAGGGGGAGGGGCGUGCAGAGAGGCAGGCUAGUUCUCUGUCCCCCUCCCUUCUCUUCCUGUCUCCCAGACUACACAGGGUGCAGCCUGCACCUCCCCAUGCUUUCCUUUCCAUCUGCAGAGAAGGCCGGGAUAGAAAUGCAAUAUUUAAUGAAGAAUUUGUUUAUAUUUUCAGGGCUAAACAAAAAGCUGAUUUAACUCACAGACCUGUUGACUAAUUUUGGUAAUUAAAGUGGUGUUUAUAACAGGGUAGUUGGAAGAUGUGUCUUUUUCAUGACCUGGGAGGGAGUGAUGAUGAAGACAGGGUUGAAAAUAGUUAACUUUGGACAGGGACCUUAAAAACAGCAGUUCCAGAAAUGGCCUUGGAGGCAGGGAUGUCAGGAGAGGAUUCUGGUUGCUGGUUCUUGUCUGAUUUUCUCUUGCAGGAGCAUCUCUGGUUAGAAGCUAUACCAGAGAAUGUGAUGGACACACCAGUCCAGGCGUUAGUUCCUUCUGGUGAAGAACUUUGGAACUGGACCUCUGGGCGUUGAUGGUGUAAAUCAGCCACAACUAUCCCCAAAUUUCAGGCCUUCUAAAUUAUUCAGGAUCCCUACUCUUGAUGGGGUCUAGACCACUGACUGGACAAGCUGACGAUGUCUCAAAGAGCAUCCUGAGUCCCAUCUCCAGGAAGCACCAGGACUGGAGAGGAAGACAGCCUGAUGUCGCCCACUCCAGACCAUCUUCAGCAAGGCUCGACCCCGUACACUUGGGGAGUUUCUCCGAGUUGUCGAGACAGUCUGUACACUUGCUUCUCGUGUUUCUAAACCAUGUCUUCAGCUCUUGUCUCAGAGUUUUUCUUUCCCAUUUUUAUUGUCUUUGUGGAUUUGUUAUUUCUUACUUUUGUUCUUAAAAAAAAAAAAAAAACCUAGAAUUUUAGGGGAAGAAACAUAAAGCAGGUGUUUUCAGUUCACCAUCCUCACUGGAAUUUUCAGGUGCUUUAUGUACAUCAAGCGAAACUUCCACAGCAGGUAUUAAUAUAGAUGAGGGAAAUGUGGAAGUAACGGGAAAUGACAGAGUUAGAAUUAAAAUUCAUUCUAUCUGGCACAAAGGCCCUCAUUUUAGAAAACACCUUUUUUUCUUUUUACUUUAAACAUCUAAGUUUUGUCCCCAAGUAUGAAGAAUUCACUUUUUUCAAAGCCAAGUAAUUCUUGAAAUUAAAAAAAAUUCACAACAUACAUUCAUCCACUCUCUCUGUUUAGUCGUUAAUUCUUAUGUACUUGUCCUACAAAAGUAAACUAUAAUUUUUAAAAGCCUAUUUUAAUUUUACAGCUUUUUGUUUUGUAUUUGAAAUUACUAAGCUUAGCCUGAAGAAAAUUUGUUGUAAUUGAAACUUUUCUCUAAGUCAAGAUUCUACUUCCUAAAACAUUGAAGCUGCUUUGCUUUAUAGAGAAUGAAGUUUCUUGUUUAACCUUGAGUUAUUUGUUGCUAGAAUCUGAAGAUGUGGAGAAAGUUUCUUAAUAUGUUUCUUUUUGGGCUCUCCAGAAGGACUUUCUGCUUCCUGUUGGCAGACCAUCAGGCCAGUUUCUGGACAUCCUUGUUAAAAUAUCCCCACACACAAUGAGUCAGGCUUUAUCAUGGGGAACAAGUCAGAUCCUGUGAAGCAAGUUAAGAGCUGCCACAAAAGACAACUUACACCGUCUGCCACAAACAGGGAGUUUAAAGACUGGGGAGUUUCUGUAAAAUAUCUCUGUCUCAAGAAUGUACAUCUCGUUUGGGAAAGAGAGGGAAAAGGAUCCCUACCUAGAAGACACAGGGAAGGGGAUUGAUGGUUAUUUACAGUCAUUUCAAGCAUUCUUUUCAUUCUGUGAGACUAAAAAGGAACAUGCUGAUCCUUCUAGCUACCAUCUACUUCCAGGCAAGAGCUUCUGUUUGUACUUUGUUCCUAUUUUCAAGGGGCAGGAUAGUGUAUAUCUGCUAAACAGUUACUAAUGAACCUCCUGCCCCCCUCCAUUUUAGGCUUAAAAGCCAUCUUGUAAUAAAGACAAAUUAGGUUCAUUCCUGUUUAUGAUUAAAUCUCUAUUUCUCAAGGAUUGAGCUAUGUCCCACCUGUAACCUUAACUACAUGGGUUCUGUAUUGGCUGUUUCAAGAAAUGGCAACCACGUCUUUGUUUUAAAACCAUCUUGCAACCCGACCUUUGUUUCAAAGGGUUGUUAUGACUGCUUUAUUAUAACCACCUUGCAAUCAUGUCUUUGUUUCAGGAGGUGGUUAUGACUAAUUUGUUAUGCUUAUAUUCUGCUCUUGUGACCCCGUCUAUUUUGCUUGCCAAAGCCCCCAUUUGGAAACCCCUGCCCAUGAGCUAUAAAAAGCUUGUCUUCCUCCUGUCCAAUGCUGAUCUCUUAAACCUCACUUUAGGGAGAGACAGCCCAUUUACACAAAUAAAAGGGCUUGUUUUAAUUAAUUGUUUGCUUUAAUUAAUUUGACUGUAAUGAUUUGGGUCAGUGGUCUUUCUCCUUGAAUCUUUGGGAUUAACAUUACAAGAAAAAUACCCAGAUAAUCAGAGACCAAUGUUUAAAUCAAGAAUGAGUUAUACCCCAGCCCACUUGUUUUAUUGCUUUUUAGUAUUUCAUUCUUCAUUUCUCUUUAACUUCAACAUUAUUGCUUGCUUAAAUAGUUAAAUUAAUUUUAUUUUGUUAGCAGUAUACAAGAGUUUUGCUAUACAUACUUACUUUCCAAAUUUCUAUCCCCAGGAGUUUUUUUUCACCCCAUCAAAUCAAAGCAUUUGCUUACUCUGUUGCCUCUGAAUACUUUGUAUAUUCAUUUUGCUUGACUUUUCUUACACACUUACACUCUGUUCUCUCUCUCUUUCUGUUUGUCUCCCUGUCUCUCUGUCUCCCUGUCUCUCCAUCUCUCUCUGGUGAUCUCUGAAUAGUUCUUUUCCACUCUCUUUUUUCCAGAUUGAUUGUAGUACUUAUAGUUAAAAUGCUGACUUUAUGUAAAAAUACACCAAAUAAAUGUUGUUUUUCUG